AUGCCAUCUCAAACAUUGAUUGAUCUGUUUAACAAAAUCAGGGACGAUGAGAACGCCCACAAGAUUGUUUCCCUGCUUCAUCUGAUGCUUCACAUGGGUACCAAGCAAUUAGAGAGUGGGGAACAAGCUCUGGAUCCAGUCUGUGCCCUAACUCAAGAGCUCCUGGAGCAAAAGACCAUUGUCAAGAACCUGAGUGAGUUGAUCGACCAACAGGAGAUCAACAAAACAUCACAACUUGAGCAGAAAUAUAUAGAUAUAAACAAGAAGCUUAUGGACCUCCACAAAAAGAACCUUUUGAUUACUGAAGUGAAUAAGCGGAUUUAUAUGAAGUGCAAAAGACUGGAGGGAAAACAUGAGGAGCUCUGCCAAUCCAACAAAAGUAUAAAGGAAGACAUGAAGGAGCAGAGAUCUCUUAUGCUGGAUCUUCAGCAGAGGUUGGAGAGCUUAGAGGCCGUGAAGAACACGAAAGAUGACUUACUGGACUCGGAGGAUGUCAAGGAGAAGAAUGUCAGGAGAGAAGAUGGAAAGCCCUGUCCUCCAAUCCCAAAGACAACAGAAGAGCUGAAGGAGCAGAAAUCUUUAAAACCGGCUCUCCAGCAGAGGUUUGACAGGUCAGAGGGCAAGAAGUGCCAGGAUGCUUUGUUGGACAAAAAGGAGGACAACUCAAAGCCGCGCAAUGGCCAGAAGAAGCUCGUCAGCUCCUCAAAAGCAGGGAAAGAAAAUGUGACUGAAGCAGAAAAAGAGAAGCAGCGCAAGAUGAUGGCAAAACCCCAUGAUGCACCUGAGAACAAGUCAGAGAAGAAGGCGUGUUCAGCCACUGCACAGGAGCCUCCUAAACUGGGAAACAGAAAUAAGAACUGCAAUGACAAGGUGGCGGCCUGCAGCAGGACGAGCGCCAAAGCCAAACAGGUUUCCGAGGACAACAGUGUACGCAAACCUAGAAACCCCGCGUUGUUAAAAGUUCGGAGCGACAAGCUGACAAAUGAAAAGAAAACAACGCCCGACAACAGGAAGCCUCGAGUUGAUUUGGGCCCCAACCUCAAAGAUACAAAACCAGUAAAGGUUCCAUUACGUUUAGAGAAGAAAGAACCCAAAUUGCCUCCAAUAGUGAACAAAGACAAGACCAUGCCUUUUCACAAACCCUGUGAAAAUGUGCUGCCUGGACGAGUUAUUCCCAACAGAUGUAGGACAACGGUCACGAAUGCCGUUCAGGCCUUACGGGGGAUGUCCCUGAAGAAACCUGUCCAACCUCAAGCCACAGCAAAGACCAGGACUCUCAAAUGUCCCCCUUUGGAGAGAAAGCCUCUUUUCCAAUACAGCACCAUCCCCAAACUCACAGGAGCAAAUGCAUCAGCAGGAACGCCCAAAACAGAAACAGUGAUCGUAACCAGCAUUUCACCGCUGCCCCCAAUCAAAAAUAUUCCCUUCAAGAGAGACGAGGAUUUUUCAUCGUGGAAGCACGACAGUUUCAUUGAUUCUUUUGGCAACGAUUAA
rnacentral:lncRNA from 1 species